rnacentral:lncRNA from 10 species
CACAGGCUGUCAUUUGAGGAACUUGUCACAACCCUUUGUUUCCUAUCUUGUUUUGGGAGGAUACUUCUGUUCCCUUGGAUUGGACCAUGUCCAGUUCUCACCCUUAAGGCCUUUCCUUGUCUUAGUCAAUUUAACUCCUCUGCUCUGUAAUCCUUGGAUUACAAAACAAGUUGUUUCUCCUUUCCAGGGACAAGAGGAGCUUCCCUAUUGUUCUUAAUUCUUAGGGCAGAGAAAAAGGCACAAUCAUAUUAACUUGUAGCAGACGAGAAGGAAUUGGGUAGAUUAGUGAAAUCCUUUAUUCCUGCUGAUUUUUUUUUCUUUUUAAGACGAGGUCUUGCUCUUUUAUUCAGGCUGGAGUGCAGUGGUGUGAGCACAGCUCACUGCAGCCUCAAACUCCUGGGCUCAAGUGCUGCUCCUGCCUCAGCCUCCUGCAAAGCUGGAACUACAGAGGCAGCACUCAAGCUCUGAUUCUCACUGUUGCCCAGCGUCAGUUGUUUAGCAGACAUGAUUUAGAUUGCUACAACCCGUUUAUACGUGAUCAUUUAACACACGGGUGUUAAGUUCAUUCUUGCUGCAAAAGAAGGCCAUUGUACCUCCUGACCCUGAAAGCAAGAACUGUGUCUCUUUAAAUCUACUGAGGAAGAUAUUCCUUCUGGCCCACAGGAUGCCAAAAUGACUUGAUGAUUUAUUUAUGCAGCACUUGGCAGCCUAUAGUCCAGAUUGUGGCUGAAGCUGAAUUUUAUGAGCCUUCCCCUAGGACACUGGAUUUUGUGGAUGCUCCUUGGACACACUGGAAUGCACCUUGGGCAGCCCGUGGAUCAUUUUCCCCAGUAUGAAGCAUGGGAGGAGCUGGAAAAUGAACUCAUGAGCCAGUUGAGCCAGCACAACAAGCUGGAGCCAGGAGUCUGGCUGGGCUAGCUUUUAUCUUGUGCUCCCUGGAACCCUGACUGGAUGAUUUCUGAAGUCGAGCUGGAGCCCAUCUAGAGGGAAGGUGAAACUUCUCCUCAGCAUGCAGGGCCUCCUGCACCCACACUGCCACAGCCACCGCAUUACCAGCUCCUGCCAGUCUGAGGAGCAAGAGGCUGGCAUGAAGAAUCAGUUCCAUUCUUUCCUCCCUAAAUUUAGAAAAAGCCUGUUUUGCAAAGCUUUCUUCAGUGUUUCAAGACAAAAAAAAAAAAAUUAAGCAGUUGCACAACAUGCAUAUCUUCUCCUGGCCUGCAGCUCCAGGAUAUGCAGCUGGGAGCGAGUGUCCAGCCAACAGCCCGUGUCUCAGGCCCUGCCAGGGGAUGAAUCAAUUAGCAAGAGAAGCAAUGAUGCAAAUGCUCCGGGGUCACUUGGGAUGCUGUUUGCCUUUUUGAUAGAGAAAGCACACCAUAAAUAACAUCACACCUCAGGAAAUCAUUCCAGGAGGCCCCGAUGCUGGCAGGGCUGCUGCCAGGGACGGAAGGAAUCGUUUGCUCAUUGUGUGUAUUUCCCCCAGCUCAGUCAAUGGGAGAUUUGUAGUAAAAUCAAAGUAUUUAAAAGGAGGACAGUAUGUGGUAACAGAGGCAUGUUUAGCAAUUUUUUUAGUACCAGAACCUGUGAUUUAUGACCCAGAGUUACAGCCAACUUUAUUACAAAAAUGACUUCACCCAUAAUAACCUUAUUCAGGGCCCUCUGAUGAAUGAUGUAGUAUCCAACAGCAUUAUAAUCUAGUAAAUAUUCAAACACAAUUCCCGCCUCCGCCUCAUUUCCAACCAACCCCUCAGAAGCAGGCUUCCCCCUUUACCUGCUGGGAGAAGUGGGGUCCUGGGUAAGGCUUUGUGCUCUGUCUGUGGGAGUUUGCCUGGAUCAGGCAUUUAUACUAAGCCAGGACAGAAAGUGACCUCCUGGGGUCUCAGUCAUAUCUUGUCCAACCUUGUCCCCUGAGGAGUAAUGAGCAGAAGACACCCACUCACCCUUCAUUUCCUCUCUGUGCUGAAACUUAUUUCCUCCCUGCAUUCCCCCACUCCUCCAGAGCUCAGAUCCCCACCACCUGAAAGGAGCUCCAGUAAGCUCCCUGACAUUUUUAAUUGCCAUGGUAACUGAGGGCUGCACUAAAACCGCCAGGGCUGGGUGUCCAAGCAGGGUCCCCUGGGCGUACCGGGAUCUAGAAACUAGCCCUCCAUCUUAUUAAACUCCGGUGUCAGUUCCUAGCAAUUGUUUUAAAUUUACACCCUCAGAGUGGCUUAGUGGGAUUACAUGUCCAUUUGCAUUAAAACAGUUUUCUGUCAUUAAACUGCCAUACAAUAAGCUUCCUUGGGACAAAUUAAUGAGCUCUAAAUAUCAUCAAGUAGAAGUUCACUUCAAGACAGGCAACAAGGAGGGGGGUCGGAAGGAAGUGGCUGCUCAGAAUCUCAUGGCCCAGGAGAACGAUAAGUGCCAACUAAAGAAGGGUCUUGUCCUGUUUCUUCACUGCACGAUAAGUGGUCCUGAUUUAGAGCUGAAUGGGGAGAUUUGGCAAUAUUCUCCCUGUUCGCCAAAAUCCUAUAGCUCAUCUUCUAUUCCUUCUUCCAAAUAUGACUUUACCCUUGACUUUGCUGAAAUUUGCUGAUGAAACACUGACCUCUUGUCUCAGUGACAAUGUCUCAGCCUCAUUUUCUUUGUCCUGUAGUUUCUCUGUCCUUGAGGAACUUGCGUGCAUCCACGUGGCCUGGGAACAACACGCACACAACGCAGCACUAUGUGUAGCUUGAACAAGUGCUCCCUAACUUUGUUAGUUCCCACACACUUUGCUAAAAUGCAUGUAUGAUUGCUACUGAACUGUCUGGGUCCUCAGACCUUAUCGGGACCCUGGAACACGAGUCCUGAUCAGGAGCACCUUUCAUGGUCAUCAGGAGCAGAAUAGGAACAGGGAACAGUUUAGCUUCUAAGACUGAAUUUGUCCUGCUCACAAGAAUCACCAGAGCUUGUCCUCACAAAUACAUAUGUGUGUCUAAGUAGAAAUUUUUCAUUAACACCAAAUAAACCCCCAAACCUUCCCUUAUGUAAAGGAAAUAAGACUGGCUGCUAGACAGACUUCUUGAUCCACAGAGGCUGUGAUCUCAUUUCUGUGUAGCCUUAACAGGGGACAGUAAUGUAUGAUUGAGACACUGCUAUAUUUAGGAAUGACAAGAUGAACAUUAUUAAUAGCUUAAUUGACAUUAAGGCAAUUACCCCUACCCUUAUUACAGUUUGUAGAAUUACACAGAAAAUAUUGGCUGGGGCCUUUUUUUCCCUAGAGCUACCCAAGGAUACAGCAUUUUAUUUCAUGCCAGAUCCCAGCUUUGACAUUAGAUACUUAGCCAUAGAAUGAUUCCAGUAAAUCAUUAUAAAUGCAUUAUAAUAAAGAUGUUAUGAGCUAUCAGAUAUUAACCCCCAACCCCUAAAGAGAGAUAAAUAGUCCAGUUGCAUGAUUCCCACUUUUGUUUCAUAAGAAAUAAGCUUUUGCAAAGAGCAACUGACUAAUGAAUUAUAAAAUGGUGUGUUGAGCUCAGAUAAUUAAACAAUGCAUUUUAGUGUCUAGUGCAGGAUGAACACUAAAUCAUACACAAAUAAAAAAGGUAAAAAUCUGAGCCCCAUGCCUAACUCCUAUUUUUGAAUAACAUUAAUGUUGGUCUACAGUCCAAAAAUGCUUCAACUAUUUUCUUAUCUGAUUAGAGAGGCAUAUCAAGUAUAAGAUCAAGGCACAGUAGGCAAACUAAACCAACAGUCAGAACAAAAACUGUGAAGGUGCUAAUUUCAGAUAAGCCCACAAGGUUAUUUUAAUGGAGAUUUUACAUGGAGAUUGCUUUUUCCCCCAAAGUGUUAAUGGGACAAAAGUCUAGAAGGACCUGGAAGUUUUCAGGUUUCCUUAUACUUUAUAUUUUCUCUGAACUCAUAAUAAAGCAUAUUAGUGGGAAUGGGAUCUAUGCUAUUGGUGGUGGUCUUAGCCUUAUAGUGUUGGAAAGAUGAAUACACAUCCUAAAAUCUUCUCUAGGUUGUGGAGGUGCAGGGAUGAGGAGGGGUUGGUUUGGGUUUCAACCAUUAUCCUCCCCAGGUGGUGGUAUCCUGCCCAGCAGGGCUUCAUCUAGUGGUCAACCAUGGAACACCAUGACAUUUUCACCAGUGGCCCUCAGACAGGGCUGGUUUGCCAUUGGCUGCCAUUUCCUGGCAUGUCGUAGAUUUGCUGCGUGAUUUGAAGCUGUGCUUCAGCACAUCCUGAAUGUGUUUUUUAGUCUUUCAGUAUCUCAAAGACAUGGUGUCCGCCUCAAGGUAGUCUCCUAUUUCUUCGUCAAAUAGCACAUCAUUAAGGACUGUGUGGCCAAAAUUACAGAUGGUCUUGGACUCUGUAUGGGCAAUGACCACCUGUGCUGGUAAUCGAGGCUUCCCUGGAACACCUGGGAACAUACCACACAGCCAGUCCUCUCCUGUGCUCCAGUCAAGCUUAACCUCACAGCCCGAUACUCCCUCCACUUCCCUAGCUCCAUGUGUUAGCCACUGCAGGUUAAUUGAUCUAAGGCUUAUUUUCUUCAAAUAUAAAAUGAAGAUAAUAAUGCCUACCCAGAGGGUCAUGUGAACAUUAAAUGAGAUCAAUUAUGUAAAGAUCUAUCUAUGCAGUGCCUUUCACAGAGUAUGCCCACAAAUAAAUGUUACCUGUUUCAUUUUAGUUAUCUAUGUUUAGCUAUCUUUGUGUUUUUUCUAUCCUGCUUCUUCUCGCUCCACUAUACUCUUACAUCCUAAUUCUCUCUCUCUCUCAUACACACAUACUUUGCUGUGUCUAGCACAGUGCUUUGCUUGUGGCUCACACUCUACAUGCUUGUUACCCUGAACUAUUAACAAAAGCAGCUGCUAGUAACAGUUAAUGUUUUCUGACCACCUACAUGAGCCAGGCACUAUGCUAAGUAUCAUCACUUCCUUUAAUUCUCACAAGCUUAUGAGACAAAUACUAUUUUAAUUCUCAUCUAUCGGAAAUUAAAGAUUAAAGAUGUUCUAUAACUUGCCCAAGGUCACACAAGCUCUUAAGUGGAUAGUCAAGAUCCAAACUCAGAACCGGCCUGGAUUUGAAAUCUCAGUUCUUAACUAUCACUGUGUCAGACUGAUUUUGUUAGCUUUUUCCUCCUUUAGACUGGGCCCUAUCAAGGGAUCAGAGAUAAGCAUGUACCCACUCUCAGAUGAGUGAUCCCACGACCUCAAGUUUUGAAGUUCCAGGAAGUCCAGAAGUGUAUGCUAACUCUAGUUUAUAGCUGUUCAAAAGUCACUUGUCUAAAAACUUCAGGGACAUUAUGUAAAACCAUCCAAAAAACAUUAUUGCACACCCCAUAAAGUUAAUUUCACUUUGCAAGAAUGUGUUUGAGGGAGGUGAUGCACUUGGCUAUGUAUUCAGGUUGGUGGCCACAAUAUAUGGAGCUGUGCUGUCAUCCUUGACACUCUGGCUUACUGGCAGCCUCGCUCCAACACACUGUCACAGGCGAGGGAUGGCCUCCCAGUCUUGACUCAGAACACUUAAGCUUCCUAAUGGUCCAAGUCUCACAAACCACACACCUCCCUUAAUUAAAAAAGUAAAUUAAAAGGAGUAUUUCAACUUAGGGAUGAAUUAUCUUAGUAAUUUAAGAUUGACAUUUUAUUGGAUAAAAGGACAUGUAUGAGUUUAUUUUAAAAUACUGCCUUCAUGAACAAGAGACCACAGAAAAGAUUAUCCUGAGGUUGCAAGGCGUUUGUAGAGCCAGAGGACACCCUUGCAAAACAGCCACUGUGAGAGGCCAGUUGCUGCAAAUCACAGGUCAGCCACUUCUACACUUGUCCUUCAAGCACAUCAGCCGGACAUUUGGAGUUUUCUAUAGUCUUCAUUUCAAACUCGAUCAUCCUGAGUGUUGUGGUGGACACUACUAGUGUCACAAAGAGUCCAGCACCCUCUCCUUCCAGGUAUAUAAACGGUGCAUUGCUGGGCUCCUUUGCAGUUGGAUAGGUCAGGUAAUUUGUCUGUUGUGAAGAGUUACUAUGUUUCACUUCUAAGCCGAAGCAUUUGAUUGUCAAUGGAAUACCCUCCAGCUCUCUCCUUCCCUGCAGAAGUAAUCUUGGAAGCAUGUGUUGAGAUGACAGAGUUCCCAAUAGCCUAGAUUCCUGAAUGACUUAGUGGAGCUGAGUCCUCCACAGGUCCAUGUUGGACAUGCACAAUCAGUGAGAAUAAACUUUUGUUGGAUUAAGUCACCGAUGUUUGGAGACUGUUCAUUACCACAACAAAAUGUAGCCAAAUCCCGACUAAUCCAGGAAUUAACCUUUUGUUCAGAAAAUACAGCCCUUCUAAGUCAUAAACCCAUAUUCUCUUUCCAAUAGCUUAUUAAAUGGUUUAUGUAUUUUCCAUCUUUUUGAUAUACUCUCAGAUGCCUAAAAUUACCACAGUGACCUUGGAUUGGACAAGGUAGUUGUUUGUCUUUUAGCCAUUAAUAAAUAUUGCUACUGUGGAAUGAGUGAGGGAAACAGAAGAAGACAAGGUUGGCCUUUUGAAAAUAAUAUGGCAUCAUGUAACGAUGAAAAAGAGAAAAAAUACAGAAAAAAGAGAAAACAAGAGAAAAAUGAAAAACAAGUCUAUAAGAGAGAAAAGUAGAGAAAAACAAAACAAUAGAAAUGCUGGGCAAUUUGUUUCAGAUUCACUAUAACCAACUGCUUGUUGUUGGGUUCUGCUCUAGAAGGCAUCUCUCAGGAUGCCUUUGACCCUCAGCACCUUUUUGUGUAUGUGCCUAGCAUACUGAGGUGCUCAAUAAAUGUUGAUUGAAAGGGUAAAUAAAGGAAUAAAUUUCCAUUUUAUAAUCUUGGAAGCAUAUAUUACUUUAAACGGCCUAUGACUAUGAAUGGACAUUCCAUUGCACAUUGAAAGGCAGUACAACAAGUGAGAAGGGAAGUAGAAAUAUAUGAGUUUGAAUAGCUCUUCAUAACCUUUAAACCUGAGUCCUUGCAAAGAGCAACUAUGAGGUCAGAGCAAUAAUUCUUUGUCCUAAAAACAGGACACCACUGAUAACUCAGAGCCGUCUGUUGAAGAAAGUGUUUCAAAUAAACUGGUUAGCAAUGCCCUUGUUUUGUUUGCCUCUGGAUGGGAAGAACUAGGAGUGCAAUCAGCACCGAGGUGUCUAUAGUCUUGAUGUGGUGGGAGAUGAAAGUAGGGGAACUGAAUAAUGUAUUUUUUCAAAACCUUGAAUGGAGCGAGAAAUACUGAUAAAAAGGAAGAGUUGUGAGUCAUUCUUCUGCUGAUGCCAACUGGGAAGCUCCAGUAGUAUAUUCCCCUGGUGAUGAAGUAAUUCACUUUUUCUGAGAUUAACAUUCUGUAGUAAGGCUGUUCCUCAUACAAGGUUGCUCACAGGUAAAGUUAAUAAAAGGCAGAGUCUAAGAAUUCAUAAGGAAGUUUGCCUUUCCAUGGGGAGAAAGCAUGCAAUCAGGGUCUCUAGUCUGUGUGCACACGUGUGUGUGCGCGUGUGUGUGUGCGCGCGCGCACUCAUAUGCACAGCUCAGAUGUCCAGGACUUGAGAUGAGAAUGGAAAGCACCGAAUAAGAAGAAAGCUGCCACACAGUAGGCUGAAGGAGAAUGACUACAACCUUUAGGCUGAAAAAAAAAAAACACUACAUGCUGGCGUGUAUCCUUGUGGAUAUGUGGAAACACAACAAAAAUAUUGGUCCAUCCUGGCUGCAGUUUUAAAGGAAAGGAAGAUCUCCUGGCAUCAACAUCUCUUGGAGAUGAACACACUAUACAUGCAAGUUCAAAUCUAUCAUCUUCCACCAGUCAACCCAAGCUACAUUCCCCUUCCAUUUAUUAUCAAAGGAAUAAGCACUUUUGUUUCCCAGGCUUAACUCCUCAAAAUCAUGAGCUUUUCUUCCCUACCUUUCCCUUCAUUCGAACUCUUUCCUUUCAAAAUGUUUAUAGAAUUCAUUCUUAUCCUCUCCCUGCCUGGGGGGUUUAUCUAGCUAGUCUAAAUUCUAGAUCAUUGCCUUUCUAUAGGAAAUAUAAAACACACAAAUAAUGAAAUACCCAUAAUCCAAGGCAGAAAUCAUGAGUGUUAUAGUAACAAUGGCCUCAAGAGCUAGACUGCCCAGGCAGCUCAUAUU